CUACGGGUCGCUGCAGUGGGGAAUAUUGCACAAUGGGCGAAAGCCUGAUGCAGCAACGCCGCGUGAGGGACGACGGCCUUCGGGUUGUAAACCUCUUUUAGCAGGGAAGAAGCGAAAGUGACGGUACCUGCAGAAAAAGCACCGGCUAACUACGUGCCAGCAGCCGCGGUAAUACGUAGGGUGCAAGCGUUGUCCGGAAUUAUUGGGCGUAAAGAGCUCGUAGGCGGUUUGUCGCGUCUGCUGUGAAAAUCCGAGGCUCAACCUCGGACCUGCAGUGGGUACGGGCAAACUAGAGUGCGGUAGGGGAGAUUGGAAUUCCUGGUGUAGCGGUGGAAUGCGCAGAUAUCAGGAGGAACACCAAUGGCGAAGGCAGAUCUCUGGGCCGUAACUGACGCUGAGGAGCGAAAGCGUGGGGAGCGAACAGGAUUAGAUACCCGGGUAGUC
rnacentral:rRNA from 1 species